rnacentral:rRNA from 1 species
UACGAAGGGUGCAAGCGUUACUCGGAAUUACUGGGCGUAAAGCGUGCGUAGGUGGUUUGUUAAGUCUGCUGUGAAAGCCCCGGGCUCAACCUGGGAAUGGCAGUGGAUACUGGCAAGCUAGAGUGCGGUAGAGGGGUGUGGAAUUCCCGGUGUAGCGGUGAAAUGCGUAGAGAUCGGGAGGAACACCAGUGGCGAAGGCGGCACCCUGGACCAGCACUGACACUGAGGCACGAAAGCGUGGGGAGCAGACAGG